rnacentral:lncRNA from 1 species
ACACCUGGAUGUGCUCACUCAACCAAGAAUAUAGAGAAAGAGCUUCUGCCCUGAGACUCAGAAAAAUAUUCUCCUGUGCUUUGGUUCAGUAUAGAUUUCUAAACCCUGAUCAUUGCUUAAGAGAUAUUCACUGAGGUUGCUGAGACAAAGGAAAACCCACUCCCUUGGAGGAGCAUGACCUUUUCCUGUAAUUCUUCCCACUGCUGUUGUUGAGCUCCUUGGAUCCUGGCUCCUGGACACCAUCAUCAAGAAGACUUUAUGGAUGGGCUGUCCACCCACUGAGAGAAGAGGAGCAUCAGCUACAGUUUCUCUCUAGAUUGCCUUCUUCAUUUUGAGUAAUGACUGUCAGCAGGGUCAGAUUAAACACAAAACAACUGGACAAUUGCUUGGAGGACUAAACUAUAAGGGCACUAACAUGUCAAUAGUAGGCUAACACAUCCAUGGAAAAUAUAUUUACCAGCUCUUCUCUCAGGGAGGAUUCUGUGUGGGGUUGGAAGUAAUGAUUUGUUAAAUUCCUUAGGGGUAGAAAGUAGGGCAUAAUCAGAAUAUAGAGGAAUAUGCUGUUUGACUUCAGGGUUUCUGUUUUUCUUACUAGGAUAUAUAAAACAGGGACUCUAGCUAGAUUGUUUAUGACCACAGAGGGUAGGCUGAGUGCUCCCAUGAUCUUCCUGCUUGGUUCUUGCCCAUACAGAGGUCAGCCUUUCCUCUAAUAAAGAUUGAACAAGUAGUGGUCUGAGGGAGACACCAAUUCAUUACCCUACAUGUCUCUUCUCUGCACUCCAGGGCUUUGAUAAUAAAGACACUGGCAGACUAUCUAUCUUCCAUUUCUAUAAUGUGAGCCCUUAGGGAGUCUUCGUUCACUUGGGGGUGAGGGUCAUUGCUCACAGAGUAGUUCAAGUCAAAUGGAACUUGAACUCUUUGCCUAUGGGCCUGGUGGUCAGACUCUGUGUUGAGUUCAUUAGAUUAUUGGAGACACAAGGUAGAGCUGGAUGCUUCAAAAAUAUUUGGCUAAAGGAUGACAUUGCUGGUUAUUUGUAGAUAAAGCCAUGAUGGAACCUGCUUGGAAUCAUGAAAUAUGGAACUGGUGGUCAUGUUUAAAAAUACAACUAAUAGUUAAGUACCUACUGGACACUGUAGAGACUUAGGGGCUAGACAGACAUGGUUCCUGCCCCCUUGGAGCUUACACUGUAGCUUCCCCUUAGGUAUGAAGAACAGUGGCUACAACUAACAAAUGGCCACAAAGAUAUAAUUGAGCCAGUGUUCCAAUUAUUAGGGUAAUUCCUAUUUCCUUAAUCAUUCCUAUUGACCAUGUUCUAUAAGCCUGCAUUCUAUAAAUGGCGUAUGACCAUGGGCUGUUUCCCCCCAGCAAGUUGUACAAAGUUCUGUGGUACCAGGGAAAGGGCUUAAGGUUAGCAGGGCCUCUGCGGAAGGACAUAUGAAGUGACUUGGGUUAGGAAACAGGAAGGGAUAGGAUUCAAGAACAGCUAUUGCUUCUGUUCUAUAUAGGAAACUGCAGCGUGAAAAAUGCUGGGCUGGGAAUUUUGAGACCUGGGUUUUAGUUUGUGUUCUAAUACUAACAAGCUAUGUGACUGUGGGUAAGUCAUUUCACAUUCCAUUUGGAUGCCUCUUGAGUGACUCCAGGCCUCUCCAGCUCUAAAACAUUAAGAUCAGGCCCUACGCUACAGCUGGCCAGUGUGUAAUUCUUCUGUUUCUAUGCUGUUAGGUCAAAUAGAUCUUCAAUAGUUACUUGAUUGUUAUUACUUUUUUCUGAAGUGGGUGUUUUAUCAAUGUUUUAGGAUACAGUGAGUCUGCUUCUCCCCUUUGGAGUUAGGAAGGUUGUAGGAAUAUACACUGUAGAGCAUAUGGGAGCUUUAUCCCCUCCUUUUUUCCCCGCUACCUUUCUCCCUCUCCUUCCCUUCAUCACAUUUCUAUUGAGCAUAUGCCAUUGCCGUGUACCAGGUGUGUGCUAGGUUUGGAGAUACAAGGUAAACCUGAGACUUUCCCAGUCUCCAGGAGACAAAACCCUAAUUUCUUUCAUCUGCUGUCUUUCUCUUUGGAAAGAAUCAACGAUAUCCCAGGGGAAUGUGCCCAUGUCCCAGGGUAACCAACUACAGACAGAUGCCCCAUUCUACUCAAGCAACUUUUAGAGUGCCUUGAGAUACACAUCAGAUAAUUAUGCAGGGCCAGGCAUGGUGCUGCACACUUGUAAUCACAGCACUUUGGGAGGCCGAGGCAGCAGAUUGCUUGAGCCCAGGAAUUCAAGUGUAGCCUAGGGAACAUGGCAAAACCCCAGCUCUACAAAAAAAUACACAAAUUAGCUGCGUGUGGUGGCCUAUGACAGGAGGCUGAGAUGGGAGGAUUGCUUGAGCCUGUGAGGUCGAGGCUGCAGUGAGCCGAGAUCAUGCCAUUACUCCAGCCUGGGUGACAUAGGGAGACCCUGUCUUGAAAAAAAAAAAAAAAAGAUAAUUAUUCAGCCCUAGAGUCAUUGUGAAAAGAUCUAUCUUCAGAUAUAAGGAAGAAACAAUCUUUUAUUUCUUAGGAUAAAUCUGUAGAAGGACCUCCAGACAGUGAAGGCCACUGACUACUUUAUACUCUGUAAGCCAUCCCUCCCUGGUAGGAAGGACUAUUUCCAAUCUUACAGAGUACCUCUCAGCAAAUAGACGUUUUCACAUAUACUGUGAUUCAUACAUCCCUAUGGCUGGUGACCUCUUUAAAAAGGAAAGGAAAAAGCCUAAUCAAACAAAAAGAUGCUGCUAGUAAUUCUUACCCUAUUGUGAAUCCUAUAUAAGCAAAUUUGUAUCUUUGUUUUUUCCUACAUUAGCAGAUCUAUUUGAUGUAUAUCUCUGAGUGCAGAAAAUAUUUUAUGGAAAAAUCAAUAUAUGGAAUUUCAAAUUCAGAAUUGCUGAUACACACUAUUUGGUUUCACAAUUUUAUCCUAGGAAAUAGUAUUAGAGAUUUCAAUUUCUGGCUUAAAUGGUAGAAUUAAUUACUCUUAACUCUUAAUUUUACUUCUGAGUUGAGGUCAAGGAACAGGCAGACACCUGCAGUUAACGUCUAUACCUCUCCAUGGCCAAGAGUUUUAAUUUUCUCGUCUUCAAUUUUGUAGAUGUUCAUCAUUACUAAAUGGAUUGAUUAGUAUUUUAUCUCCUCUCCUUGUCCUUACUUUCCCUCUGGUAAAUAUGUUAUAAACAGUGUAAGGCUCCUAAGAUAGAGUAGCUGGUAGGACUUAGAAGAGAAACAAAGGGCACUGAUAACUCACAUAAAUGGAAAAUUGGCUCUGGAAUAACUGACAACAUAUUCAAGUAUUUUAGUGCAGUGUCACUCUCAUUAAGAAGAAGAGAAUCAGUAAAUCUAUGUGACUCUAAACAUUCUAAUGAAAAAAGGAAUAUUCUGCCAAUUAUCUCACAUUUCUAAAUAUCUGGAUAUUGGCCAUUGUAAAGACAAAACAUACAGAUGAUGGACUUGUCUUUCCACCUCUCAUUUGCAUGGUUUGGAGCAUUGUACCUCCAGCCAUAGACUCUAAGGCAAUUUAUAUUUGCUUCCUCUUCCCUCUUGAGAGAAAACGAAAAUCUUAUUUUUCCAAGCAAUUAAAACUCUUCUGCUUCAGCUAGGAUGAAAGAAUUAGGAGUUCUGUCUCCUUGUAUCUAAUUGCAUGUUUCAUCUUUCUUGUUUUAAUGAUUGACAGAAAACUAAUAAACUGAGACAUCUUUGAAUCCAGGUUGAAUGU